UACGGAGGAUCCAAGCGUUAUCCGGAUUUAUUGGGUUUAAAGGGUGCGUAGGCGGGUUUUUAAGUCAGUGGUGAAAGUUUGCGGCUCAACCGUAAAAUUGCCAUUGAAACUGAAGACCUUGAGUGUAAAUGAGGUAGGCGGAAUGUGUUGUGUAGCGGUGAAAUGCUUAGAUAUAACACAGAACACCAAUUGCGAAGGCAGCUUACUGGGAUACAACUGACGCUGAGGCACGAAAGCGUGGGGAUCAAACAGGAUUAGAUACCCUGGUAGUCCACGCAGUAAACGAUGAAUACUAACUGUAUGCGAUAUACUGUAUGCGGUACAGCGAAAGCGUUAAGUAUUCCACCUGGGGAGUACGUUCGCAAGAAUG
rnacentral:rRNA from 1 species